rnacentral:rRNA from 1 species
GCAAGCAGCCAUAUCACUCUGAAACUCACAGCUGGCAACCCACUGAAGCUCCCUGGUGUGAGCCUGGUCAGUACCUGGAUGGGAGACCUCCUGGGAAAAAUUAAGGUUGCUGCUGGAA